rnacentral:sRNA from 1 species
CACUAAGUUUUCUAGGGUUCCGUAAUAUCGCUGUAUUAGUCUGGUCCAAGAGAAAACUCAUAGAUAAUUUAUCUAUGUCACGGAAGGACAAAAGCCUGGGAGAU